rnacentral:ncRNA from 1 species
UGAAGCAUAGCAUUGAGAUAGCCAGAAAUCAGUGUAAACGCAAUGUGGUUUUUGCCCAGUGCUCUGAAUUGUCAAAGUGAAGUAAGUCAACCAAUCGCAGGUAAACGGCGGGAGUAACUAUGACCCAACCUAACCCUAAGAUGGUGGUAAGAGGAGAU